CUGAAGUUCGAUCGCAUGUUAGAGGAUCACAAAAAAGGGUUGUACCCCAAUUGCGAAGAUGGCAACACAAAGCUCGGUACCGUACUGGAAUUGCUGCAGUGGAAGGCAGAGAAUGCUGUGCCUGACAAAGGAUUUGAGAAGCUAUUGAAAAUAUUGAAGAAGAAGCUUCCAAAGGAUAACGAAUUGCCCGACAGUACAUACGCAGCAAAGAAGGUCGUAUGCCCUCUAGGAUUGGAGGUGCAGAAGAUACAUGCAUGCCCUAUUGACUGCAUCCUCUACCGCGGUGCGUACAAGGAUCUGAACGCAUGCCCGGUAUGCGGUGCAUUGCGGUAUAAGAUCAGACGAGAUGACCCUGGUGAUGUUGACGGCGAGCCC
rnacentral:rRNA from 1 species